GCAGCUGAUGCAGCCUGCCGCGUGUGUGAGAAGGUCUUCGGAUUGUAAGCACUUUAAGUUGGGAGGAAGGGUUGUAGGUUAAUACCCUGCAAUUUUGACGUUACCAACAGAAUAAGCACCGGCUAACUUCGUGCCAGCAGCCGCAGUAAUACCG
rnacentral:rRNA from 1 species